rnacentral:rRNA from 1 species
CAGCCGCGGUCAUACGUAGGACCCAAGCGUUAUCCGGAUUGAUUGGGUUUAAAGGGUGCGUAGGCGGCCCGUUAAGUCAGCGGUGAAAGCCCGGGGCUCAACCCCGGAACUGCCGUUGAUACUGGCGGGCUUGAGUUCGGUCGAGGCGGGCGGAACUGGCGGUGUAGCGGUGAAAUGCUUAGAUACCGCCAAGAACCCCGAUUGCGUAGGCAGCUCGCUGGGCCGAAACUGACGCUGAGGCACGAAAGCGUGGGGAGCGAAC